UACCGGGGAGCUUUAUUGCUGAGAGUAGUUGUCAAUGGCAACUUAACCCGUCAAACCUGAUUCGGAUAAUACCGACGAAGGGAGUAUCUUUUA
rnacentral:ncRNA from 1 species